GAUGAACGCUAGCGGCAGGCUUAAUACAUGCAAGUCGUGGGGCAGCAUGAGUGUAGCAAUACAUUUGAUGGCGACCGGCAAACGGGUGCGGAACACGUACACAACCUUCCUAUAAGUGGGGAAUAGCCCAGAGAAAUUUGGAUUAAUACCCCGUAACAUAAUGAUGUGGCAUCACAUUAUUAUUAUAGCUUCGGCGCUUAUUGAUGGGUGUGCGGCUGGUUAGAUAGUUGGCGGGGUAACGGCCCACCAAGUCUACGAUCAGUAGCUGAUGUGAGAGCAUGAUCAGCCACACGGGCACUGAGACACGGGCCCGACUCCUACGGGAGGCAGCAGUAAGGAAUAUUGGUCAAUGGACGCAAGUCUGAACCAGCCAUGCCGCGUGAAGGAUUAAGGUCCUCUGGAUUGUAAACUUCUUUUAUCUGGGACGAAAAAGGCGAUUCUUCGUCACUUGACGGUACCAGAUGAAUAAGCACCGGCUAACUCCGUGCCAGCCGCCGCGGUAAUAC
rnacentral:rRNA from 1 species